AAGCCUAGGUCACCUGAGAAGGCUUCUCUGAGGGAGCGAUAUUUUAGGCUGAGAGGUAAAGGAUGGGCAGGGGUUAGCCAGACGAAGAAAGGCGGAAGUGGAGGCCCCGAGGCAGGAAGGAGCUGGUGCACUUGAAACACUGAAAGGAAACGAGUGUGGCUAGGGAGUUGUGAGAAAGAGGAAAGCAGUAAAACCUUAUUGGCCACAUGAAGAAUUCUGGACUCAAAACGGGAAGUCUUCUACAGGCAAGUUUAUUUAAGUAAGGACUAACAGGAUCAGGCUCAAAAUUUUAAAAGAUUACUCUGUCUUCUGUGUGAAAAACGGAUUGGAGAUGAGAUCAACAUAGACUCAGAGGACCAGCUAAGAGACAACCGCAAUUCUUUAAAAGUAACAGACAACGGAGGCCUGUGUUAAGGUGAGAAGACUGAUGCCCAAGCAGGAAGAGAGCCCCGCCUGAGGCCAGAGAGACCUGGUGGCAGAGCUGAGCCAGUGCCUAAUCAGUUCGAGCAGAUGAUUUCAGAAACACUUGACAAACUGAAUAAAAUAACCACUUCUCAGGGCUACUGUAGAGGAGAUUCCAUGUCACAGCGUGGUCUGAAAUGACUUCAGACAACAGAUGGCAUCAAGAGAGAAUUGGCAUUUACUCGUGAUUAUGAUUUGUUGUUCUACAUCUUGCUCUGUGUGUCAGGUCAAACCAUUCUCAGAGGAGGACCAAGGGAAGAACCAGACCUAGUUCCUGACCUGGAGGGCAGAACAGCUCCAAAAUCAACUACGACUCUCUGGGAUAGGAGCUGUGAUCAGAGAAUGUACAAAAGACUAUGGAAAAUGACUAGGACGGAAAAUGUGGUAUAUACAUACAGUGGAAUAUUAUUCAGCCCUAAAAAGCAAGGAAAUUCUGACACAUUACAACAUAGGUGAACCUUGAAGACCUUAUGCUGAGAGAAAUAAGCCAGUCACAAAGGACAAAUAUUGUA